rnacentral:tRNA from 1 species
UCUCUGGUAGUAUCUCGGUUAGUACACGCGCUUGUCAUAUGAAAAUCGUGAUCACUUCGCGCGAAAGCUGGGUUCGACUCCCAGCCAGAGAG